GUGAGUCAUCGAGUCUUUGAACGCACCUUGCGCUCUCUGGUAUUCCGGAGAGCAUGCCUGUUUGAGUGUCAUGAACUCUUCAACCCACCGGUUCCUUGUUGAAUCGAGUUGGUGUUUGGAUUUUGAGCGUUUGCUUUUUUAUUAAGCUCGUUCGUAAUAUAUUAGCAUCUCAAUUUCGUAAUCGGAUUGACUCAGCGUAAUAGACUAUUCGCUGAGGACACUACUUGUAGUGGCCGAGAAUGAAAAAGUUAGAAGCUUCCAACCCUUCUAAGUUCAUUUUUGAUUUCAUGACCUCAGUAUUCAGGCAGGAUUACCCGCUGAACUUAAGCAUAUCAAUAAGGCGAGG
rnacentral:rRNA from 1 species